UUGUGGGGGGGGGGGGGGGGAGAGGGAGAGGAGGGAGGGGGAGAGAGAGAGAGAAAGGAGAAUGAACAUGUGCAUGACUUAGGGCCUGACUGCUUUCCCUGAGCUUUUGUGCUCAAGGUUAGCACUCUCCCACUUGAGCCACAGCUCCACUUCCAGCUUUUAUAUGGUCUGUUGGAGAUAGACAUUCUCUCCUAGCCUCCUGAGUACCUAGGAUUACAGGUGGUAAGCACUGGUGCCGAGCUGUGUGUACUUUUAUGACAACUUGUUGGUGAUCUUAGAAGGUAGUCAGUCUCAAAUUGUGUGCUAGGUAUCUUUAACAUUUUCUUCUUUUCCUCCAGUGGUUUGGAUUUUACAGAAGUGGCCAAGCCAAGGAAAUCAUUCCUCUACAGAAUACUACUCUGUACACACAGGACCUUCUGGGGCUAAAGCAAAUGGACAAAGAAGGACGACUAGUGUUUCUGGCUGUAGAAGGGGACCAUCUUCAAUUCUCUGAAGAAUGGUUUAAUGCCAACAUCAUCCCCUUUCUUAAAUGAAGCACUUGCAGUUUGCAACAGAGCUUGGGAACCCCUAGCUCUUCCAAACGAAGUAGAAGAUAAUUUUCUUCAUGCCGGAUCGAGCUAUGAUCCAAUAUGCAACUAAUCCUUCUCUCCUGUUAUCAUCUAACAUGCCCUACUUGGAAAGA